ACAACAAUCAAACCAUCUGGUUUCUAUUUCUCCAGUACGAAGAGGAUUUUAAACACAGACUUUUAAAUAGAAUAUGCCUAACAGAUCCAACAAGGCCUGCUCCCCGAAGUGGCCCAGAGAUGUCAGCAGUGAGAGAUCACAUGAUUGAUUAUGCAUACCGUGAUGGAACUACUUCAGAUGAACCUGAUAAGAGCUGGAACUUCACAGAAAGAUUCUCCCGGAGAGACUU